GAUGAACGCUGGCGGCGUGCCUAAUACAUGCAAGUCGAGCGAACAGACGAGGAGCUUGCUCCUCUGACGUUAGCGGCGGACGGGUGAGUAACACGUGUAUAACCUACCUAUAAGAGUGGGAUAACUUCGGGAAACCGGAGCUAAUACCGUAUAAUAUGUUGAAUCGCAUGGUUCAACAGUGAAAGACGGUCUUUCUGUCACUUAUAGAUGGAUCCGCGCCGCAUGAGAUAGUUGGUAAGUUAACGGCUUACCAAGGCGACGAUGCGUAGCCGACCUGAGAGAGUGAUAGGCGACACUGGAGGUGAGACACGCUCCAGACUACUAAGGGACGGCGCAGUAGCGAAUGUUAGGCAGUAGGCGAGAGCAUUGCGGAGCGGGGCCGAGUGAGUGACGACGGUGUUCCGAUCGUAAAGAUCUGUUACUAGGGAUGAACCGAUGUGUAAGUAAAUAUGCCCGUAUUGACGGUACCUAGUCAGAAAGCAACGGCUAACUACGUG
rnacentral:rRNA from 1 species